rnacentral:lncRNA from 1 species
AUCCCCUAAAGUUGUAUACAAAUCUCCACCACACCCUCAUGUAUGUGUAUGUCCACCACCACCUCCAUGUUAUUCUCCAUCCCCUAAGGUUGUAUACAAAUCUCCUCCUCCACCAUAUGUCUACAGCUCCCCACCACCACCUUACUAUUCUCCAUCUCCCAAAGUUGUAUACAAGUCUCCUCCUCCCCCAUACGUCUACAGUUCUCCACCACCACCGUACUACUCCCCAUCCCCUAAGGUAGACUACAAAUCUCCUCCACCACCGUAUGUUUACAGCUCACCACCACCACCAUACUACUCACCAUCCCCUAAGGUAGGCUAUAAGUCUCCCCCUCUACCAUAUGUUUAUAACUCCCCACCACCGCCGUACUACUCCCCAUCCCCUAAGGUGGUAUACAAGUCUCCUCCUCCCCCAUAUGUUUACAGUUCUCCACCACCACCAUACUAUUCUCCUUCCCCUAAGGUAGAGUACAAGUCUCCACCACCACCAUAUGUUUACAGUUCUCCACCACCACCAUACUAUUCACCUUCUCCUAAGGUAGACUACAAGUCUCCUCCACCACCAUAUGUUUACAGUUCCCCACCACCACCAUACUAUUCUCCCUCCCCUAAGGUUGUAUACAAAUCUCCUCCUCCCCCAUAUGUCUACAGCUCUCCACCCCCACCAUCGUACUCAGCUUCUCCAAAACCUGAGUACUAAGCUUAAGCCAACAGAAAAUGUGGAUUCUUAAAUAUGCUAUUGAGUUUUAUUUGAUCUAAUCCAGCCUUUUGUACUUGUUGCUACUCGUAUCUAAUAACUUUUAACUUUUUGGUACUUAAUUUUAAUAUUUUGCUACAAACCUACACAUGGU